GCUUUGCCAUCAGUGGUGUGAGGAGCAGGCCGGGGCAGUGGGCAAUUGAGCGAGGAACAGCUGCGGGAGGACUCCGCGGACUCCUGAGAACCAGCUUAGGGGAGCGGCGGCUUGGGGAGGUGUAGGGUGGAAUCACGAGAAAGCUCUGUGGGAGGGCCUGGUGCACAGCUCAGCUGCAGGGUGGAGCUGAGGGAAAGCCGGGCGUUCCUGGAGGAGGAGCAGGGCGAGGCUGUGGCAAAGCGCUGUGGGAGCAGAUGGGGCGGGGCUGCGGGAAAGAGCUGGAGAAGGAGGAGCCAAGCUGCACCAAGGCUGGCGGGUGAGAAUUGCGGGGGAGGAGCUAGUGCAGAGCUGGAGGAAAGAGCUGAAAGGCAAGAGUCCAAACUUUCCCGCGGCGACCUAACUGCACCUCCAGUGUCUUCCCCCAGAGGGCACAGAAGCAGCAAGAAGGGCGGGAACACUUGACUGGGGUCCAUGCAGCUCUAGGCUGAGUCUUGCAGGGCUGAGCCCCCCAGGCCUGCUCUCCUGUGUCCUGGCCGCUCCGUCAGUGCCUGCCAGUGGGGUCCAGAGGGACCGUUUUUUUAACGCCUCUUUUGCAGUCUCCCGCAUUGACUUCAUAACCAAGUUCUGGGUCCCUGCCUCUGGAGUGCCUGAUGAGACAAAACGGCUCCUCGUCCUGCAUCCCCGCUGCUACUUCCAGAAUUCAGGCCUCGUGGUCUGGAGCCUGCACUGUUCCAUGAGCCUCCUGAGCAACCUGGAGUCCUCUGUCUUUCUUCCCUCAGUGAGAUGCGCCUACUUCUCCCUGGAGAAGCUUGAGGAAGCAGAAAUGCUGGAGAUGAGCUGCUCCUCACUCUCACUCCUGGGUGUGCUGGGCAGUGGGGUGCAAUGUGCACGUAGGUGCACACUCUCCCUGGGCGGCAGCGAGCAGCAGAGGUCUGAUCUGUGGUCGGAUGACGAGAGGAAGUGCAAGUAAAGCAGCUGCAGCGACGGAGUUUUGCUCUUGUUGCCCAGGCUGGUGCAAUCUCGGCUCACCACUACCUCUGCCUUCUGGGCUCAAGCGAUUCUCCUUCCUCAGCCUCCUGAGUGCUGGGAUUACAGAGACCUCGUCCGCACAGGGGCUUGUUCUUCUGUGUCUUUGCAGGGCUGUUUUGGACUCAGUAUUCACCUAAGCACUCCAAAUUGUAAGUAACCCCAGAGAUCAUGGAGUGUCCCACUGCCCCUCCAUCUGAAGGCUGUGACCUCUCCCCCAAGGAGGAGGUGCUCGCAUGCGUCCAGUGCCCUGCCCAUUAGAUUAGGGAGGGUUCCCUUUUUUGCUCUCUUGCACUCAUUUGUCCGCCUUUUAGCUUUCCUUUUCUGCCCUGACUCUCACAGGGUCGUGCGGAUGUGCGAUGUAGGAGGAGGAGAGAGGUAAAGUGGAGGAAUAGGAGCUGGAGGGGAGGAGGAGAGAAGAAAAGAGGAGAAGGAGGGGGAAGAGAGGGAGCGGGUUCAAGGAGGGAAGGAGGAGGAGAAGGAGAGGAGGAGGAGAUGAGACCAAGGAGAAGAGGUGAAGGAGGAGAGGAGGACACAGAAAAGAGAAGAAAGAGGAGAGGAGACGGAGAAGAGGAGGAGGAGUAACAAAGGAGGAAGAAGAGGAAGAGGACUAGAAGAGCAAGUAAGGAGGAGGAGGGGGGAGUAGGAGGAGAGGAGAAGGACAGAAGGGGAAGGAGAGGCAGAUGUGGAGGAGAGGAGGUGGAGGACAGGAGGGGAUGAGAAAGAGGAGGAGAAAAGGAGAGGAGAGGGAUGAGGGGGGAGGAGGAAGAGAAAAGAACAGGAGGAGAAGAGGAGGAGAAAAGGAGGAGGAGUGAAAGAAAAGAGGAGAAGGAGAGGAGGGGGGGAGGACGGGGAGGAAGGGAGAAGGAGAGAAAUAGGAGGAGGGAGGAAAGGAGGAGAGGACGAGAGGAGGAGCAGAGGAGGAGGAGGAGAGGAAGGGGAGGAGAUUUGGAGGAAGAGGGGAGGUGGAAGAAGAAAGGAGAAGGCGGAGAAGAGGAGAAAGCAGAGAGGAGGAGGCUGAAGAAAGGAGGACCAGGAGGAGAGGACGAGGAGGAAAGGAGGAAGAGGAAGAGUGGAAUAAGAGGAGCAGAGGAAAAGGAGGAGGGGGUUGGGGAGGAGUGGAGAGGAGAGGAGGAGGAACAGAGUUGGAGGAGGUGAAAGAGAAAAGAGGAGAAGGAGGAGAGGAAGAGAGAAGGAAAUGAGAAGGAGAAAAGUAGGAAGAAGAAGAGAGAAGAGGAGAGGAUGAGGAGGAGGAGAGGAGAAGGAGAGCAGGAGGUGGGAGGAGGAGGAGAGUAAGAGGAGGAAAUGAGGAGGAAGAAAGGAGGACAGAAGGUGGAGAGGAGGAGGAGAGGAGGAGAAGGAAACGAGGAGGAGGACGAGGCUGCACCACCCUUAUCAGGUUCCAGUUCUCGGUGCGCCCCGUUCUGCAAGACACUCUCCUGUGGUCAGCCCUGGUCUGCAGAGGAUUCCCGCGCUGGAUCUCUGAAGGAUGCUGGCGCCCUCUCUGCAGCACAUUCCUGAUGCCCUUGCUGACACGUGUCCUCUGGGCCCUCUCCUGAAACCUGAUUCUCCGGGGUGUCUUCUGGCCUCACCUCUUCUGUCCAGUUCCAGCAAGCUCACUUUGCUUAGCCUUUGAAUCCCUUCCUUCACUGUCUGCCAUGACAGUUCAGGCCUUUCACCGUCACUCAGGCCUGGACCAUCACUGUUGCCCAUCCCAUGCCAUCAACAGGUUUGCCCCAUCCCUUCGGCUCCCUACCAGGGCAUUCAGUUGUGUUGAGCAGCAGAGUGUCUCCAAGUCCCCACUGGUUGAGCUGCAUCCGGGUCCCAUCCCACAGGGACCCCCUGGCCGCUGCAGAUGCAUGCUGAUCCUGCAGCUCCUCGAGGGUGUCAUCGCUUUCCCCCUUCCCAGACCCAGCACACCCUGCCUGCAUGGCGCUGCGCUGCACCUUCACUCUGGUCACGGGUCUGGCAGUCAGCUCACCAAUUCCUCCUGCUUCCCUGGGACUUGCCGGCUUUUAGCACUGCAAUUCACUCAGCAAACUGGGACUGUUGGUCACCCUACCUGGCAGCCAGUGAUAAGGUGAGGGCCACUCCUGGGAGGGAGGACACCUGUGGGGAAAAUUCUUGUGUUAUUUAUUUCUCCUUCGGGAUAGGGUGCCUGCAGCGCUUCAUGGGAGGGGGUGGGCUGAUGCUGCGGGCUCAGAAGUUUCAAGGGCAUCUGGGGAGACCAGAUAUUCAGAGACCUUCUAGAUGUGCCUGUUCCAUGUAUCAGGGACGCAGGUUUUCCCAACAGGGCUGGUGUCAUUGGCAUGACAGACCUGCCUUGGCUGAGCGUUCACCUGUCUUUGGAGUUCAGCCACCUUAGCAAGUCCUGGGUUUGUUCUUCAGACUUUGCUGCUCGCCCAUUGCCUGGAUCGGGGGCUACUUUGUAAACCACCAGGAAGACUCCAGUGUUUCUGGUUAAUUUUUAGAUGUUUGUUAAUUGCUCUUGGUCUCUCAUUAAUCCCCUGUGGGUCAUCCAGGAAACAUACUCACCACUGUCUGUUCUCUGAGUUUUCAUUUCCAGGCAUCCGCCCUGCCUGGAUCUCCUCACCUGCCAGGAACUUCCUCUCCACAAGCCGGCCAUCCCAGCAAAAGUUCUAACACCAAAGGUCUGGCAACUAGCCUGCCAUCUUGUGCCUGGAGCCGCCUGCGUGCCACCUACUCCCGAAGAUGGGAACCUUGUUGCCAGUUGGGCAGAUGCGGGGCAAUCCUGUACCAAGACCCCAUUUUACCACCUGCUUUCUCAGACCACUCUGGAACCCACUGUCUCAGAUUGUGUCCUCCAGGAAGCAGACCAUGAGAGGGAGUUGGCAGGGCCAAAGAUUUACUGGGGCUAACUAACACUCAGGAAAGGGAUAGGAAGGAAACAGGGCUGGAGAGCAGGUUGAGCCCGACCUGACAGUCUCGAGCAGCCCAACAGGGAGGUGUGGAGCAAGGGUUGCCCACUAGAGGGGCCUGCAUUGGGUACGGGUGAUGGGGUCCACAUGGUACCUGGCAUAUAGCAGGCUGUGCAAUCCAUAUUAACUGACUGGAUAAAUUAAUGCCCAGAAAAGGUGCCCUGGAGAAUGGGUGUGUGCUGAACACAAUAGGGAAGGGCCCAGCAUCUGCCUUGGCAUAGGCAGAACUGUGCUGUGCCCUGCAACAGGCCACCUGAGAGCUGCUUUGAUCUUGUGUGUACAUUAGAUGACUGCCAGGGGCAUGAAGGGGAUGUGCUUCCAGGGCAUUUGCUGGCAGGGCGUCUCGUGAUCUCUUGGUAUUGGUGUGAGCACAGCCUGGCAGGAGAGGGCAGAUCUCCAUGCAAAGUAUGUCAGAAAGCAGAUGGAAGCCAGGCCCCCUCCUGAAAGAGGCUCCUUGAAGGUAGGUGCACACUCAUGUCUUUGUUACUUGUAAGGGGGCAUCUUACAGGCAAGAGGAGUUAGGUGAAUGUGAAGAGGAAGGAACUACUCUGGGCAGGGGGCUGGGGGACGCUUCGUAGAGGAGGGGGUGUUUGAGCUGGGCCUUGAAGGUCAAAAGGGUUUUGUUAGGUGGGAAAUGGGGGAAGGACAGUCUGAAAGGGUUAGGUACAUUCAAGGAGCCCAGAGAAGGUUCGUGGCUGGAGCAGACGCAUUCGUAGAGUGAAGUCAUGGGAGAGAAGAGGCUGGGAAACUAGAUUGGUUCCAACUCCUAAAGGACCACUGAAGGAGUGUGGGCUGCACGCUGGGUGCAGCAGGUGAGUUUCCUCACUUGGGUUUCACUGUCAGCAUUUUAAAAAGGCAAACUGGUUUUCUUCCUGAGAAGAAUUCAUUGAUUCACUUGUGGCCAGUAAGUCAUCUGGGCCAGAGGUUGGUGGGGAGAUGAUAGGGGUGCAAGUGUCAUCUUCAAUCACAGCAUAACUGCCCUUGCUUUCUUACCUCUCGUUUAGAUAUUUCAAUGCUUGCUCAGGUCCCCUGCGCCCUCCUUCCUUCUCCCUUCCCAGCCAUACUACUUAUGGGAUGACUUUCUCUUUGUAAAAUGACCGUUAGUCUUAUCAAAUUAAUCCCAAAGUAAUACCAUCAAUUUCCCCCUAAAAUACCAACAAGACCCCUGCUUGAAACUGCUUGUACAUUAGAGACAGAGAAGAGUCCAUGAGAAUCAACAUUUUCUGAGGACUCCAACUGUGUGCCAAGAGAGUUCCCCUGCUGGUGCCUCCUCUGUAGUAAAGGAAAGGUAACAUUCCUGCAAGGCUUUGAAGCUUACAGCGUGCUUGCCCUUAGAUUCUUGUGUUGUGUUCUGGGUCAGCAGGAAUGCCUCGCCAGGUCCUUUUUCUCAUCCUAAUGUGACACUGAAUUCUUCACAGGCUCCUGGGACCACAUUAUCAUUCUCUUCACUCGAGAGAUGAGGACACUGAAAUUCAGAGAGGGGAAGUGAUUUGCCUCAGCUUGUACUGGUUUCACUUUGUCACUCAGGCUGGAGUGCAGUGAUGUGAUCAUAGCUUUCUGCAGCCUUGACUUCCGGGCUCAAGUGAUCCUCCCACCUCCGCCUCCUUAGUAGCUAGGACCACAGGCAUGCACCAGCACACCCAGCAAAUUAAAAAAAAAUUUUUUUUAAAGAUGAGAUCUCACUAUGUUGCCCAGGCUGGUCUGAAAUUCCUGUCCUCAAGCAAUCCUCCUGCCUUAGCCUCCCAAAGUGCUGAGAUUACAGGCAUGAGCUACCAUGCCUGGCCUAAAACAUUUUUAAUGGAAGUAUAAUUUGCAAACAGAAAACAUGCCCAAAUAUUAAGUGAAUGCACUGAUGAACAUUCACAACUUAACAAGAUAGCCAGCACUUAAAUCACAAAAUAGAACACCGCUAGGACCUCUUUGUAAUACCCUCCAAGUCACUACUUCUGCCCAAAGGUAAUCGCUAUUUUGCAACAUUUUUUAUUACUUUAUAUAAAUGAGAUCGUACACUGCGUAAUCUUAUUACUGUCUGGAUUUUUAUAUUAAAUAUUGCUUGUGAGAUUCAUCCAUGUUGUCAUGUCAGCAAUACUUUAUUCUCAUUGCCAUAUACUAUUCCAUUUUUAUCAGUAUACCAUGAUAUAUUUACCCAUUCUGCUAUUUGUACAUACUGGAAUUGUUCCCAGGUUUUUGUAAUACAAGCAAAGCUGCUAUGAACAUGCUUGGAUUUACUUUCUUUGGUGAAUAUGUAUUACUGUUAUGUACAUGUCUAGAGGUAAAAUUGAUGAUUUAUGGGAUAUGCAUAUGUUUAAUUUUAGCAGAUAUUGAAAAACAGAUUUUUAAAGCGGCUGUAGCAAUUUACAUUACCACCAGCAAUGUGUGAGUUCCAUUUGCUCUCCGUCCUUGACAGCACAUGUUGUCACUUAG
rnacentral:lncRNA from 1 species